AAUCUCUCCCCUCGGUGACCUUCUCUGACUGACCCUCGUAUGCCCCCUUAUAAGACCCUUGGGUUAUCACCUGGGUCAUCCAGGGUCGCCUCCCCAUCCCAGGAUCCUUAACUUCAUCUCAGCUGCAGCGUCCCUGUUGUCCUGUAAGGGAACAUUCACGGGCCUUGGCGAUUGGAUGUAGGUGCCUUUGGGGCUGUGAUUCAGCCAAACCCACCCCUUGGUGACUUCUGGGUCAGAAUCCAGGGGAGAGUUGGGUCCUGAGGUUUGGGGCCUGUCCUCCUCACUUGCUGUGGUUCACACCUGGACUCUGGGGCUCAGGCCUGCCUUCCCCCUUUCUCCCUCCUGGGCGCAGGGCUGCGCUGGCAGGGCUGUCGCUCAGCCUGAUGGAACGCCUGGCUGAGGAGUACGGCGCGAGGGUGGUGCGGACACUGACGGUGCAGUACCGCAUGCACCAGGCUAUCAUGCGCUGGGCCUCGGACACCAUGUACCUUGGGCAGCUCACAGCCCACUCUUCCGUGGCAGGGCACCUCCUGAGGGACCUCCCAGGUGUGGCUGCCACAGAAGAGACGGGUGUGCCCCUGCUCCUGGUGGACACCGCCGGCUGCGGGCUGUUUGAGCUGGAGGAGGAGGACGAACAGUCGAAAGGGAACCCUGGCGAAGUCCGCCUCGUCAGUUUGCACAUCCAGGCUCUGGUGGACGCUGGUGUUCCAGCCCGUGACAUUGCCGUGGUCUCGCCAUACAACCUCCAGGUGAAGUUGGUUUUCUUGCUGAGGACCGGAGGAUCAACGUGGCUGUCACCCGUGCCCGACGCCACGUGGCGGUCAUCUGUGACUCCCGUACUGUCAACAACCAUGCAUUUUUGAAGACCCUGGUGGAGUAUUUCACACAGCAUGGGGAAGUACGCACGGCCUUUGAGUAUCUUGACGAUAUUGUCCCAGAAAACUAUUCCCAUGAGAGCUCCCAGGGUUCCAGCCACGCUGCCACCAAGCCCCAGGGACCUGCUACGUCCACCAGGACCGGAAGCCAGCGGCAGGAGGGAGGCCAGGAGGCCACAGCACCUGCCAGACAGGGCCGGAAGAAGCCGGCUGGGAAGUCUCUGGCCUCUGAAGCCCCAUCUCAGCCCAGCCUCAACGGAGGCAGCCCAGAGGGAGUGGAGAGCCAAGAUGGCGUGGACCACUUCCGGGCCAUGAUAGUGGAGUUCAUGGCCAGCAAGAAGAUGCAGUUGGAGUUUCCUCCUUCCCUCAAUUCCCACGACAGGCUGCGGGUCCACCAAAUAGCCGAGGAGCACGGGCUGAGGCACGACAGUUCCGGGGAAGGGAAGAGGAGGUUCAUCACUGUGAGCAAGAGGGCCCCGCCGGCCCUGCGACCCCGAGCAGCCCUGGGACCCCCAGCAGGGACCGGUGGCCCAGCCCCUCUCCAGCCAGUGCCCGCUAGCCCUGCGCAGACGGAGCAGCCUCCGAGGGAGCAGCGUGGCCCAGACCAGCCUGAUCUGAGGACGCUGCACCUGGAGAGACUGCAGAGAGUCAGAAACGCGCAGAGGCAGCCCGCCAGCAAGGAGCAGCAGGCCUCAGGGCAGCAGAAACUUCCAGAAAAGAAAAAGAAAAAAGAAGCCAAAGGACAUCCGGCCACAGCUCUGCCCACGGAGGAGGACUUUGAGGCCCUGGUUUCUGCCGCCGUUAAGGCUGAUAACACCUGCGGCUUUGCCAAGUGCACAGCCGGCGUCACAACCCUGGGCCAGUUCUGCGAGCUCUGCAGCCACCGCUACUGCCUCAGCCACCACCUGCCCGAGAUCCAUGGCUGCGGUGAGAGGGCUCGCGCCCAUGCCCGGCAGAGAAUCAGCCGGGAAGGGGUCCUCUAUGCCGGCAGCGGGACCAAGGACAGAUCCCUGGACCCAGCCAAGAGGGCCCAGCUGCAGAGGAGGCUGGAUAAGAAGCUGAGCGAGCUCAGCAACCAGAGGACCAGCCGGAGGAAGGAGAGGGGGACGUGACUGGCCGCAUCCUCGCACGCCCCGCGGAGCUCUCUCCAUGGUAGCCCAGGGCGCCGCCAGACCAUGCUCCGCCUCCACCAGGGCCACAGAGGAGCGGAGGGGCCUAUGGGGGAGGAGUGGAGGGCCCUGUGGGGGAAGGUUGGGUUUUUGGACCCCAGGGAUGAGCUUUUCCGAUGUCACAAUGUGGAGGAAAGCACCUGGGGGACAACAGUGCUCGUGCAGGUGGGGCUCGGGAAAUGCACGUCCCUUCCCCUCACUCCCCGCCAAAACCCACAUCCCAGCCUCUGGAUCCUGGGGAAGGUUCCCGUCCCUGGAGAAUAUCCAGGGCCUCAAACUUGAAGUCACUCCUCCAAUGUCUGGGACUUGCCAGCUCAGCCCAUUAGGAUGAGGGUGCUGAGAGGAAACAGGAAACAAGACUCUGCGAAUGGCGCUCAGGCAGGGAGCAGGGAGUGGCGUUUGGCUUGCACGUUCCCAUGCGGCCAGAUGCUGGGGCCACUUUCCUUCUGUCUGCUGUUUGCUGGUGACUGCAGUGUUCCCCCUCCUCCUCACCACGGGGCUCCUGUGAGUCUAGAGGGCACCUCUUUCUGGCCUGUGCACCUCUCUCUGGCUUAUAAAGGCGCCUGGCCUGUGCCAUCCCCUCCUUGUUGCGCCUCACCGUGGGGACCAGGUGAGCCGGCUCUCCCAUGUGGCUGUCCCGGGAAAGCUGCCCCACAGCCUCAGCAUCUUCAGCACUUACCGAUCCAGAGCCUCCCGGCCUUCUCUGGUGCCCUGUACCAACUCUUCUAUUUAAGAGAACCUCAGAUGAUGUACCUGAGCCUCAGGGUUUUGUUUCAGAGGGAUAUAAAUUAUUUAAAAAUUAAAUGAAAACGUUGCACACUGC
rnacentral:sRNA from 1 species